CAGCCGUAAACGAUGCGCGUUAGGUGUAUCGACGACCACGAGUCGUCGAGGUGCCGAAGGGAAACCGUGAAACGUGCCGCCUGGGAAGUACGGUCGCAAGGCUGAAACUUAAAGGAAUUGGCGGGGGAGCACCACAACAGGUGGAGCCUGCGGUUUAAUUGGAUUCAACACCGUAAACUCACCAGGGAAGACUGUUACAUGAAAGCCGAGAUGAAGACUCUGCUAGAUUUUCAGAGAGGUGGUGCAUGGCGUCAGUGACU
rnacentral:rRNA from 1 species